rnacentral:rRNA from 1 species
GUGGGGAAUAUUGGACAAUGGGCGAAGCCUGAUCCAGCCAUGCCGCGUGUGUGAAGAAGGUCUUCGGAUUGUAAAGCACUUUAAGUUGGGAGGAAGGGCAGUAAGUUAAUACCUUGCUGUUUUGACGUUACCGACAGAAUAAGCACCGGCUAACUUCGUGCCAGCAGCCGCGGUAAUACGAAGGGUGCAAGCGUUAAUCGGAAUUACUGGGCGUAAAGCGCGCGUAGGUGGUUUUGUAAGUUGGAGGUGAAAUCCCCGGGCUCAACCUGGGAACUGCCUCCAAAACUGCAUGACUAGAGUACGGUAGAGGGUAGUGGAAUUUCCUGUGUAGCGGUGAAAUGCGUAGAUAUAGGAAGGAACACCAGUGGCGAAGGCGACUACCUGGACUGAUACUGACACUGAGGUGCGAAAGCGUGGGGAGCAAACAGGAUUAGAAACCCCGGUAGUCC